UUGCAAACAAGAUCACUAGCACAGCAUGUUGUUGCUGGAGCAAGGGGAACAUGUUUGCUAUAAUAAACCUGGUUCUGGGAGUGCCCGAUCCUCAGUUAUGUGACUGAUCACUGCUUCUAUGCCAGCACACAC